GUGUUUUCCUAUUGGUUAAAAUUGAUGAGUUUGAGAUAGAAUAUGACACAUCUCCUCUUAUAUUAGAUCCCUCUCUAAAAUAACAGAUCCUCUGCCCUAUCUCUAAAAAACCGAUACUCUUCUUCUUUCUCCCUCACAUCAAAACUUUUCCAGCCACCAUGUAGCUUCUGGAACUGGUGGUGCGAAACUCCUUUUCCACCUCUAAUCUCUUUUGAGGUUGACACCCACUCCACCCUUCACCCUCUCUGGGUUGCAUCAGAUUUGAUUUCUUCUUCUCUAGUUUGGUUCUGGCGACGGUCGCUCCAGGAGGAUCGUCAAUCGACUGCUUUAGAUCCGAAGUCGUGAUCUUUUCCCAUCCUUUGGUUGGUUUAUUCUUGUUGACUGUUUUAUGCUGUAACUCGGUUGCAGUGCUCUCCUAGGUGGCACUUUCGACGUUUGUGGAAGCUCAUUCUCUAAUGGGUUUACUGCAAGUUUGUAUUUCUGGUACAAAGUUGAUAUCUUGAGUUUUUGAUUCUCUUAUUGGCUUCAAAUCUGUUGAGAUCUGCAAAUUUCAAAAUUUAAGAUUUGCCUCUUUGUAAUGACACUAACUUAAUAUCCACAUCAGUCUUGAAAUUGAUGUGAGAUUGUUUUCAUAUCUGCAUCAUUCUAUUUGAUGUUGGAUUGUUGCUGGGUUUUUUCAAGAGGUUUUUGGUUCGUGAAUCAGUCUGUGGCGGUUAGUUCAUACAUUAUGCUGAAAAGUGAAUGCUCACACUAGACUAUUUUUUACUUUUUGGUUUCGCGCCCAUAAACGGGUUCGUCGGAUACUGUAUGUCGUGUGUGCUCUUUUACUUUAGUUAUUUUUAAAAAAACCACUUUGAUGUAUUUGAUUUAUUUGCAUACCCUUCCGUGAUGGUUUCGUGGUUUGACUAGGUUUGGUUUAUGUCUCUCAGGACUUUGUAAUUUUUUGAUUUCGGUUCGACUUUGGAACACAGAUACGUUUGAACAUCUUAAUCGGAUGUUGCACAGUUGGUUAGAGGGAGAAAUUGGAGAGGGUGAACGGAUUAGAAGAAUACAAUGGCUUGUGUCCACGUUCAACCAAAACGGAGAAGUGCACGAAUGGGUGGAUAUUAAGACCGACCAAGACGCUCGUAGGAUGAUGCAUUACAUGUUCAAAAUUGUUUUGAUGGUUGUAAUCGCAUAGUUUUUGUAUUCUAGUUGUUUUAAUUGUUUGUGUUAUUUUUUAAGAACAACUGUCUUUUCGUCACAGACGUCUACUAUGAAGUAAAUUUAGUUGUCCAUACAUUGCAACAAAGGUACUUUGAAAUAAAUUUAGUUUUCCAUAUAUAGCAAUAGAGGUACAUCUGAA